GAAUAGUAAAAGAUACAAACUUCAAAAUCAAAAAAUUUGGCGGUGCUUUAUCUAAUUAGAGAAGUCUGUAAUAUAAUUGACACCCCACAAUGAGCCCACUUUAAAUAAUAUACUUAUAUAUCGCUGUUAAUAUAAAAAUUAUAAAGAAAACAGACAUAAAUCAAGUCAAGAUAUAGUUUUAUAUGAAAUUAUGGACUACAUUUAUAAAAUAGAAAAAAAAAGAAUUUAAAAGUAAAAUUAAAUUUUAUUAGUAAUAAAGUAUG
rnacentral:rRNA from 1 species